rnacentral:rRNA from 1 species
GUCCACGCCCUAAACGAUGUCUACUAGUUGUUGGUGGAGUAAAAUCCAUGAGUAACGCAGCUAACGCGUGAAGUAGACCGCCUGGGGAGUACGGUCGCAAGAUUAAAACUCAAAUGAAUUGACGGGGGCCCGCACAAGCGGUGGAUUAUGUGGAUUAAUUCGAUGCAACGCGAAAACCUUACCUGGCCUUGACAUGUACGGAACUUUCCAGAGAUGGAUUGGUGCUCGAAAGAGAACCGUAACACAGGUGCUGCAUGGCUGUCGU